CCUACGGGUGGCAGCAGUGAGGAAUAUUGGUCAAUGGACGAGAGUCUGAACCAGCCAAGUAGCGUGAAGGAUGACUGCCCUAUGGGUUGUAAACUUCUUUUAUAUGGGAAUAAAAUGUUCCACGUGUGGGAUUUUGUAUGUACCAUAUGAAUAAAGAUCGGCUAACUCCGUGCCAGCAGCCGCGGUAAUACGGAGGAUCCGAGCGUUAUCCGGAUUUAUUGGGUUUAAAGGGAGCGUAGGUGGAUUGUUAAGUCAGUUGUGAAAGUUUGCGGCUCAACCGUAAAAUUGCAGUUGAAACUGGCAGUCUUGAGUACAGUAGAGGUGGGCGGAAUGCGUGGUGUAGCGGUGAAAUGCUUAGAUAUCACGAAGAACUCCGAUUGCGAAGGCAGUUCACUGGACUGCAACUGACACUGAGGCUCGAAAGUGUGGGUAUCAAACAGGAUUAGAUACCCUAGUAGUC
rnacentral:rRNA from 1 species